rnacentral:misc_RNA from 1 species
UCUCCGUUGGUGAACCAGCGGAGGGAUCAUUACCGAGUACUACACUCAUAACCCUUUGUGAACCUUUAUACCUGUUGCUUCGGCGGCGCGCCUCCCGGGGCGUGCCCGCCGGUAUCAUCAGAAUCUCUGUUUGAACCCGACGAUACAUCUGAGUGUUCUAAGCGAACUGUUAAAACUUUCAACAACGGAUCUCUUGGCUCCAGCAUCGAUGAAGAACGCAGC